rnacentral:rRNA from 1 species
UACGGAGGGGGGCGAGCGUUGUUCGGAAUUAUUGGGCGUAGAGAGCUCGUAGGCGGUUUGUCGCGUCUGCCGUGAAAGUCCGGGGCUCAACUCCGGAUCUGCGGUGGGUACGGGCAGACUAGAGUGAUGUAGGGGAGACUGGAAUUCCUGGUGUAGCGGUGAAAUUCGUAGAUAUUGGGAAGAACACCGGUGGCGAAGGCGGCUCACUGGCUCGUAACUGACGCUCAUGCACGACAGCGUGGGGAUCAAACAGG